AGCAAAUAAAUAAAAUGCUUGGAAAAUUGUUUGUAUGCAUGCACUGCUUGAAAGGAAAUAUUAUAUUUGAUAAUUUGUAUGUAUUCAUAUUAUGUAUAAUCCAUUAUCACUAUCACUUGUCAAGUAAAUGUAUGAACGUGAUUGGAUAAUAUAUAUGCACUACUAGUAGGUUCAUAUGACAUUGUCAACAUUUGAUAUGGUGAAUAUUUUGUCAUUAAUCAUUUACAUUAUUUUGUUCUGAGUGUGGCAGAAACAUGCAACUCUAAGUGCCAUGACAAAAGGAACGCUGUUUGCACUAUGAGUCUAUUUCGGGCCACUGUUAAGUGUCUUAUCAGUAUUGUCAAGUGCAAUACCAAAGAUACUGAGCUAGCACUGCAGGCCUACAAGUUUACAAUGAACAACAAGCUGUCACGUAUCACCAGGCAGCCUGCUCCCAUCUGCCUAGUUACAGUCAAGCGCAUGCUUUAUCUCACCCUCUCACGUGUGCGCGAAACGCCACCGCAUUGGUCAUUUCAGACCGGGGGGAGUUGUUUUUGUUAUAAUUCAGGAAGAACCCUACUCAUUUCAAAAAUAGGUGGGGAUUACAUUUAUUUACAUUUACAGAAUUACAUUAUUUUGAAAGGAAAUUAUUAUAAACUUGAGCACUUAUCGAGUGUGGAUAGCGAGCUCCUGUGUCGAGCAAAUAGAUACAUCUCCCAUCACCUGCCAAUUCAUCACCAUUCCAACCCAGCCACCCCACCUGUGUGGUCGGACCAAGUCUGGCCCGUUGGCAUGGCGAUGAUGGAGGAAGGGGCGCGGAGCUGCCUGCUUCAGUCACGCUCCAGCCUGGAGCAGGACAUCAGGGCUUCCUACCUGAUGGAUCACAUGAUCAGUGACGGCGUGCUGACGGGGGACGAGGAGGACAGGAUCAGGAGCAAGCCCACCAGAAGAGAGCAGGCGGCGGCCCUGCUGGAGCUGCUCCUGAGGAAGGAUAACCAGGCCUACAUCUCCUUCUACAAUGCCCUGGUCCGGGAGAGCUACGGAGACCUGGCCAGCCUGCUCCACAACAGCCUGCCCCUGGUCUCCCCUGAGGCUGAGAAGAGCUUCUCAGACGGUGGCACCCGCUAUGUCCAGGCGGUGCUGAGUGAGGGCGGCGUGCCCCAGAGACCCGUGGUGUUUGUGAGCCGGCCAGCCCUGAUGAACCGGGUCAGGGAGAAGCUCUACCGCUUGCAGAAGGAGCCCGGCUGGGUCACUGUGUUCGGCAUGGCCGGCUCCGGCAAGUCUGUCUUGGCUGCAGAGGCAGUCCGAGACCACGCACUCAUCACAGAGUGUUUUCCAGGAGGAGUCCACUGGCUGUCCAUAGGCCAGCUGGACCGGUCUGACCUGCUGGUUAGGAUCCAGUCACUGUGUUUCCGCCUGGAGCAGCAGAGCCAGGAGAAAGACCCCUCGUCCUCCCUCCACCGGCCUCCUGGCUCUCUGGAAGAGGCCAAGGAGCGACUACGCUUCCUCAUGCUCCGUCGUUACCCCAGGUCGUUGCUGAUACUGGAUGACAUCUGGGACAGCUCGGUGCUCAAGGCCUUUGACAUACAGUGUCGAGUACUGCUCACCACCCGAGACAGAAGCCUAGCCGACUGUGUCAGCGGUCCUAAGUCUGAGGUGGCAGUGGAGAGUGGUCUGGAGGAGGGUCAGGCCUUGGAGAUCCUCGCCCUGUAUGUCAACAGGAAACCCCAGAGACUCCCAGAACAGGCCCGCAGCAUUGUCCGAGAGUGCAAAGGCUCUCCCUUGGUGGUGUCCCUAAUCGGGGCCCUGCUGCGGGAGUUCCCGGACCGCUGGGCCUACUACCUGCACACGCUCCAGCAGAAGAAGUUCAAGCGUAUCCGUAAGUCGUCUUCGUAUGACUAUGAUGCCCUUGACCAGGCCAUGGCUGCCAGCAUCCAGGUCCUGUCUGAGGAACACAGGGAGCUGUACAUUGACCUCACCGUGCUGGAGAAGGACGUCAAAGUACCUGCCAAGGUUCUGUCAGUUCUGUGGGAUCUAGAACCGGAGGAGGUGGAGGACGUUCUCCAGGACUUUGUGAACAAGUCCCUACUGUUCCGUGAUUGUCACCACCGGCCCUACCUCUACUACCUCCACGACCUGCAGCUGGACUUCCUGGCUGAGAUGAACCGCUCUGGCCUAGAGAGCCUCCACACCAAGGUGGUGCGUCAGUACCAGCAGCGCUACAGCAAGGGUCCUCCCACCUCAGGAGAUGAAGAGUGCCUCUACUGGUUCAGAUUCCUCACCUACCACAUGGCCAAGGCCAACCUCACACAGGAGUUGUACUCUCUGAUGUUCUCUCUGGACUGGGUCAGAACUAAAGCUCAGAUUAUGGGACCGGCUCAUCUCAUCAAUGACUAUUUGGAGUACAGCACCAUACUGGACAAAGAGAACAGCGAGGUGCGGGGCCACUUCCAGGAGUUCCUGUCUCUGAACGGCCACCAGUUGGAGCAGCGUCCGUUCCCUGACGUCGUGCAGCUGGCCCUGUCCCAGCCAGACUCCUCUGAGGUGUACCGCCAGGCCCUGCUGCAGGCGCAGGAGAGGGCCACCAGAGGGGAACUCUACCUUGACUGGGUGAACACAAGUAGUCUGAAGAGCCUGUCUCGUCUGGUGGUCCAGCCCCACCAGGGAUCCAUCUACUCUGCCUGCUUCUCCCACGACGGCACCAAGAUCGCUUCCUGUGGCUCCAGCAAGACACUGCGAGUGUUUAAGAGCACGUCUGGGGAGAAGCUGCUGGAGAUCCAGGCCCACGACGAUGAGGUGCUCUGCUGCGCCUUCUCCCCGGAUGACCAUCUCCUAGCAACCUGCUCCAGUGAUAGGAAGGUCAAGGUUUGGAAUGUGGAGCGUGGGACUCUGAUGAGGAUGUUUGAGGACGAACACGAGGAGCAGGUCAACCACUGUCAGUUCACCAACACACGCCGACGCCUUCUACUGGCCACCUGUUCCAACGACAAGUUCAUGAACACCAAGCUGUGGAACAUCAAUAAACCCUCUUCCCAGAACACCAUGUUUGGUCAUUUGGAGCCUGUCAAUCACUGCUGUUUCUCCCCUGAUGACGCCUACCUCUCCACCUCUUCCAGCGACGGAACCCUGAAGCUGUGGGAGGUGUCCUCGGCUAAUGAGUGGAAGUCCAUAGACGUGGCGGACAUGUUCCCAGAGCAGAGAGAGCAGACGGAGGUCAUGGUGAAGUGCAGCACCUGGUCAGCAGGCGGCAGGACCAUCAUCUGUGCUGCCAGGAACGCAGUCUUUGUGUUUGAUGUAGAGACGGCGGCCAUGUUGUUGGAGAUCCGGACCAGUCGUCUGAGCACGGUGCAGUACUGUCACGCCUGCCCCAGCAGCAACCUGGUGGCCAUCGCACUGUCACACUAUGCUGUGGAGCUGUGGGACAUAGAGACCAGUAAGAAGAUGGCUGACUGUAGUGGUCAUCUGAGCUGGGUCCAUGGAGUCCAGUUCUCCCCUGACGGAUCUCUACUGCUCUCCUGUUCUGACGACCAGACCGUCAGGGUGUGGGAGACUAAUAAAGUCCACACCUCCUCGGCUGUCUGUCUGAAGAGGGACUCUGACGUGCUCUUUAACAACGGUGACAUUACUGUGGUCGCUGCCGACAACCGCAACAGACUGCAGGUGAGGAAUGGGAGGACCGGAGCGGUGAUGUUCCAGUCAGAGAACCAGGAGUCUCGUAUCCGCUGCACUGCGAUCUGCUCACAGACCUCAGCCGUGGGGCUGGGACGAGAGGAUGGGACGAUACAGGUACACACACGUACACACACAGGUGUUGGAGGUGCCGUCGGGGACCUCUCUAGCCACUCUUCAGGGUCACACCAGGGCAGUUCUCCACUGCCAGUUCACCCCGGAGGGACACACACUCAUCACCUCCUCUGAGGACACCACCAUACGGGUGUGGAGGUGGAGGACAGGUGAGUGUGUGGUUCUGGAGGGCCACAAGGAGCAGGUCAGAUGCUUCUCUCUGCUCACCACCUCACCCUCCUCAGAGACACAUCUCCUCAGCUGGUCCUUUGACGGCACCAUCAAGGUGUGGGACAUGUCUAGUGGUGAACGGCUGCAGGAUCUAGUGUGUCACCAGGGGGCGGUGCUAGCCUGUGACGUGUCGCCUGACGGACAGCUCUUCGCCACCACCUCCGCUGACAAGACUGCCAAGGUGUGGAGCAGUGCAUCGUGGGAGUGCGUGCGCCUGUUGAACGGCCACCAGGACUGUGUCCGCAGCUGCCGCUUCUCUUGGGACGGCCGGCGCCUAGCAACCGGCGACGACAACGGAGAGAUACGGCUGUGGAACGUGAAGGAUGGUACUCUGCUUAAGAUCUGUUCCCGUGACAACAAGGACGCCAUGGACUCUCUGCACGGAGGCUGGGUGACCGACCUGCACUUCUCCCCAGACAACACUGUGCUGCUGUCUACAGGAGGAUACAUUAAGUGGUGGAACGUGGAGAAAGGAGAGGCCCUCCAGACCUUCUACCCGACAGGAGCCAAUCUGAAAAGGAUCCACGUGUCACCUGACUUCUCCACCUUCGUCACCAUCGACAAUAUCGGAAUCCUCUACAUCCUUAAGAAGGUGGAAUGAGAGGGAGGCAUAGCUCAUUAGUCUAAAGUGGUUUACUUAUAGCUCAUUAGUCUAAAGGGGGCGUAGCUCAAUAAUGGAAAUAAUGGUCUCCUCUCCUUGCAUUGAUCUGAAAGAGCCAGACAGGUGAGAGCCAAUGUCCGUUAGUCAUCUGCCAUGUUGCUUUAGCCUGCGUUCUCAGAUCAGAUCAGGUGAGAGCCAAUGUCCGUUAGUCAUCUGCCAUGUUGCUUUAGCCUGCGUUCUCAGAUCAGAUCAGGUGAGAGCCAAUGUCCGUUAGUCAUCUGCCAUGUUGCUUUAGCCUGCGUUCUCAGAGCAGAGACAGGUGAAGAACAGGAGAUCUGCUGAAGGACAAUCAUUUCUCCUGCUCUGCCUUCUGCAUGUCAUAACAGUCAAACACAACAAAAUACAUCAUUUCUCCUGCUCUGCCUUCUGCAUGUUACAACAGUCACACACAACAAAAUACAUCAUUUCUCCUGCUCUGCCUUCUGCAUGUCACAACAGUCAAACACAACAAAAUACAUAAUUUCUCCUGCUCUGCCUUCUGCAUGUUAUAACAGUCAAACACAACAAAAUACAUCAUUUCUCCUGCUCUGCCUUCUGCAUGUUAUAACAGUCAAACACAACAAAAUACAUCAUUUCUCCUGCUCUGCCUUCUGCAUGUUAUAACAGUCACACACAACAAAAUACAUCAUUUCUCCUGCUCUGCCUUCUGCAUGUCACAACAGUCAAACACAACAAAAUACAUCAUUUCUCCUGCUCUGCCUUCUGCAUGUUAUAACAGUCAAACACAACAAAAUACAUCAUUUCUCCUGCUCUGCCUUCUGCAUGUCAUAACAGUCAAACACAACAAAAUACAUCAUUUCUCCUGCUCUGCCUUCUGCAUGUUAUAACAGUCAAACACAACAAAAUACAUAAUUUCUCCUGCUCUGCCUUCUGCAUGUUAUAACAGUCAAACACAACAAAAUACAUCAUUUCUCCUGCUCUGCCUUCUGCAUGUCACAACAGUCAAACACAACAAAAUACAUCAUUUCUCCUGCUCUGCCUUCUGCAUGUCACAACAGUCACACACAACAAAAUACAUAAUUUCUCCUGCUCUGCCUUCUGCAUGUCACAACAGUCAAUCACAACAAAAUACAUAAUUUCUCCUGCUCUGCCUUCUGCAUGUCACAACAGUCAAACACAACAAAAUACAUCAUUUCUCCUGCUCUGCCUUCUGCAUGUCACAACAGUCAAACACAACAAAAUACAUCAUUUCUCCUGCUCUGCCUUCUGCAUGUCACAACAGUCAAACACAACAAAAUACAUCAUUUCUCCUGCUCUGCCUUCUGCAUGUCACAACAGUCAAACACAACAAAAUACAUAAUUUCUCCUGCUCUGCCUUCUGCAUGUUAUAACAGUCAAACAAUCACAACAAAAUACAUAAUUUCUCCUGCUCUGCCUUCUGCAUGUUAUAACAGUCAAACAAUCACAACAAAAUACAUCAUUUCUCCUGCUCUGCCUUCUGCAUGUCACAACAGUCAAUCACAACAAAAUACAUCAUUUCUCCUGCUCUGCCUUCUGCAUGCCACAACAGUCAAUCACAACAAAAUACAUAAUUUCUCCUGCUCUGCCUUCUGCAUGUCACAACAGUCAAUCACAACAAAAUACAUAAUUUCUCCUGCUCUGCCUUCUGCAUGUCACAACAGUCAAUCACAACAAAAUACAUCAUUUCUCCUGCUCUGCCUUCUGCAUGUUAUAACAGUCAAACACAACAAAAUACAUCAUUUCUCCUGCUCUGCCUUCUGCAUGUUAUAACAGUCAAACAAUCACAACAAAAUACAUCAUUUCUCCUGCUCUGCCUUCUGCAUGUCACAACAGUCAAACAAUCACAACAAAAUACAUCAUUUCUCCUGCUCUGCCUUCUGCAUGUCACAACAGUCAAACAAUCACAACAAAAUACAUCAUUUCUCCUGCUCUGCCUUCUGCAUGUCACAACAGUCACACACAACAAAAUACAUCAUUUCUCCUGCUCUGCCUUCUGCAUGUCACAACAGUCACACAAUCACAACAAAAUACAUAAUUUCUCCUGCUCUGCCUUCUGCAUGUUAUAACAGUCAAACAAUCACAACAAAAUACAUAAUUUCUCCUGCUCUGCCUUCUGCAUGUUAUAACAGUCAAACACAACAAAAUACAUCAUUUCUCCUGCUCUGCCUUCUGCAUGUCACAACAGUCAAACACAACAAAAUACAUCAUUUCUCCUGCUCUGCCUUCUGCAUGUUAUAACAGUCAAACACAACAAAAUACAUAAUUUCUCCUGCUCUGCCUUCUGCAUGUUAUAACAGUCAAACAAUCACAACAAAAUACAUCAUUUCUCCUGCUCUGCCUUCUGCAUGUCACAACAGUCAAACAAUCACAACAAAAUACAUCAUUUCUCCUGCUCUGCCUUCUGCAUGUUACAACAGUCAAUCACAACAAAAUACAUCAUUUCUCCUGCUCUGCCUUCUGCAUGUUACAACAGUCAAUCACAACAAAAUACAUCAUUUCUCCUGCUCUGCCUUCUGCAUGUCACAACAGUCACACAAUCACAACAAAAUGCAUCAUUUCUCCUGCUCUGCCUUCUGCAUGUCACAACAGUCACACAAUCACAACAAAAUACAUAAUUUCUCCUGCUCUGCCUUCUGCAUGUCACAACAGUCAAACAAUCACAACAAAAUACAUCAUUUCUCCUGCUCUGCCUUCUGCAUGUCACAACAGUCAAUCACAACAAAAUACAUCAUUUCUCCUGCUCUGCCUUCUGCAUGCCAUAACAGUCAAUCACAACAAAAUACAUCAUUUCUCCUGCUCUGCCUUCUGCAUGUUAUAACAGUCAAACACAACAAAAUACAUCAUUUCUCCUGCUCUGCCUUCUGCAUGUCACAACAGUCACACAAUCACAACAAAAUACAUCAUUUCUCCUGCUCUGCCUUCUGCAUGUCACAACAGUCAACCACAACAAAAUACAUCAUUUCUCCUGCUCUGCCUUCUGCAUGUCACAACAGUCAACCACAACAAAAUACAUCAUUUCUCCUGCUCUGCCUUCUGCAUGCCACAACAGUCAAUCACAACAAAAUACAUCAUUUCUCCUGCUCUGCCUUCUGCAUGUCACAACAGUCAAUCACAACAAAAUACAUCAUUUCUCCUGCUCUGCCUUCUGCAUGUCACAACAGUCAAAACAAUCACAACAAAAUACAUCAUUUCUCCUGCUCUGCCUUCUGCAUGUCACAACAGUCACACAAUCACAACAAAAUACAUCAUUUCUCCUGCUCUGCCUUCUGCAUGCCAUAACAGUCAAACACAACAAAAUACAUCAUUUCUCCUGCUCUGCCUUCUGCAUGCCAUAACAGUCAAACACAACAAAAUACAUCAUUUCUCCUGCUCUGCCUUCUGCAUGCCACAACAGUCAAACACAACAAAAUACAUCAUUUCUCCUGCUCUGCCUUCUGCAUGUCACAACAGUCAAACAAUCACAACAAAAUACAUCAUUUCUCCUGCUCUGCCUUCUGCAUGUCACAACAGUCACACACAACAAAAUACAUCAUUUCUCCUGCUCUGCCUUCUGCAUGUCACAACAGUCACACAAUCACAACAAAAUACAUAAUUUCUCCUGCUCUGCCUUCUGCAUGUUAUAACAGUCAAACAAUCACAACAAAAUACAUAAUUUCUCCUGCUCUGCCUUCUGCAUGUUAUAACAGUCAAACAAUCACAACAAAAUACAUAAUUUCUCCUGCUCUGCCUUCUGCAUGUUAUAACAGUCAAACAAUCACAACAAAAUACAUAAUUUCUCCUGCUCUGCCUUCUGCAUGUUAUAACAGUCAAACACAACAAAAUACAUCAUUUCUCCUGCUCUGCCUUCUGCAUGUUAUAACAGUCAAACAAUCACAACAAAAUACAUCAUUUCUCCUGCUCUGCCUUCUGCAUGUCACAACAGUCAAACAAUCACAACAAAAUACAUCAUUUCUCCUGCUCUGCCUUCUGCAUGUCACAACAGUCAAACAAUCACAACAAAAUACAUCAUUUCUCCUGCUCUGCCUUCUGCAUGUUACAACAGUCAAUCACAACAAAAUACAUCAUUUCUCCUGCUCUGCCUUCUGCAUGUUACAACAGUCAAUCACAACAAAAUACAUCAUUUCUCCUGCUCUGCCUUCUGCAUGUCACAACAGUCACACAAUCACAACAAAAUACAUAAUUUCUCCUGCUCUGCCUUCUGCAUGUCACAACAGUCAAACAAUCACAACAAAAUACAUCAUUUCUCCUGCUCUGCCUUCUGCAUGUCACAACAGUCAAUCACAACAAAAUACAUCAUUUCUCCUGCUCUGCCUUCUGCAUGCCAUAACAGUCAAUCACAACAAAAUACAUCAUUUCUCCUGCUCUGCCUUCUGCAUGUUAUAACAGUCAAACACAACAAAAUACAUCAUUUCUCCUGCUCUGCCUUCUGCAUGUCACAACAGUCACACAAUCACAACAAAAUACAUCAUUUCUCCUGCUCUGCCUUCUGCAUGUCACAACAGUCAACCACAACAAAAUACAUCAUUUCUCCUGCUCUGCCUUCUGCAUGUCACAACAGUCAACCACAACAAAAUACAUCAUUUCUCCUGCUCUGCCUUCUGCAUGCCACAACAGUCAAUCACAACAAAAUACAUCAUUUCUCCUGCUCUGCCUUCUGCAUGUCACAACAGUCAAUCACAACAAAAUACAUCAUUUCUCCUGCUCUGCCUUCUGCAUGUCACAACAGUCAAAACAAUCACAACAAAAUACAUCAUUUCUCCUGCUCUGCCUUCUGCAUGUCACAACAGUCACACAAUCACAACAAAAUACAUCAUUUCUCCUGCUCUGCCUUCUGCAUGCCAUAACAGUCAAACACAACAAAAUACAUCAUUUCUCCUGCUCUGCCUUCUGCAUGCCAUAACAGUCAAACACAACAAAAUACAUCAUUUCUCCUGCUCUGCCUUCUGCAUGCCACAACAGUCAAACACAACAAAAUACAUCAUUUCUCCUGCUCUGCCUUCUGCAUGUCACAACAGUCAAAACAAUCACAACAAAAUACAUCAUUUCUCCUGCUCUGCCUUCUGCAUGUCACAACAGUCAACCAAUCACAACAAAAUACAUCAUUUCUCCUGCUCUGCCUUCUGCAUGCCAUAACAGUCAAACAAUCACAACAAAAUACAUCAUUUCUCCUGCUCUGCCUUCUGCAUGUCACAACAGUCAACCAAUCACAACAAAAUACAUCAUUUCUCCUGCUCUGCCUUCUGCAUGUCACAACAGUCAACCAAUCACAACAAAAUACAUCAUUUCUCCUGCUCUGCCUUCUGCAUGUCACAACAGUCACACAAUCACAACAAAAUACAUCAUUUCUCCUGCUCUGCCUUCUGCAUGUCACAACAGUCAAACACAACAAAAUACAUCAUUUCUCCUGCUCUGCCUUCUGCAUGUCACAACAGUCAAAACAAUCACAACAAAAUUGAUAUCCUGACAAAAUGAACUAUUAUGCUUUUCUUAUUGUAUCAGGGGACCAUAGACAAAAUGCAUUUUAUUCUUACUGCACUGGGGUAAAUUGUAUGCAAUAUGGAGAGAUUUUUCUAUGCUCUUUUUAACUAGGAAAAUCUAUGCUAUAAUGAAAUGCACCAGCAUUAUCUGUUGUGAUUCUACAGUGAUGUUGUCAAACAGUGAAUUGGUUUUGUAUUUCUAAGUGCCCAAUGAGUCUUUUGCUUUGUUGAUGUCGUGGCACUCUGCAAAUGGUCAUGAUUGUGUUCCGUCGUCUUAAACAAAGUACAUGUAUUUUUCCCUGUGAUGUUUGGGUGGCAGGGAGCCUAGCGAUUUAAGAGCGUUGUGCCAGUAACCUAAAGGUUGCUGGUUCAAAUCUCUGAGUCGACUGGGUGAAACAUCUCUCUAUGCCCUUCAGCAACGCACUUAACCCUAAUUUACUCUUGUAAGUCGCUCUGGAUAAGAGCGUCUGUUGACUAAAAUGUAAAGGUCUAAACAUGUGUAUUUGGACUAACUAAAGCCUUAAAGAUGGAUUCCGCAGUAUGGGGAAGCCUACCCACCACUUAAAAAAAAAAAAAAACCUUGACCUAAGGCAUUUGUCAGAAUAGCAUCUGUCGACUAUGUUUACUAUCAAGUUCAACACUGUUUAGGACAUUUUAUACACUAAUUAUAUCAAUAGAGCCAGUUUUAUUUAAAAAAUAAUAAUUUUUGUACAAGUCCUUUUUUAUUGUAUAUAUCUUGCUUUCAUACAUUUUGUUUUCUUAUUACUACUGAUCCACGCUCUAGUGAGCUUUGUAGGAAGGCACUAUGAUUUAUCUCUUGUGGUCUAUAUCAAGAACAUGGCCUUGUUCCAAUACUUUGACAAUGCGUCCUUCCUUCCUCGCUUCCUUCCUUCCAUCGUUGCUUGUCGUCAUCUCUGAUCUGACGCUAUUGAAUAGCUGACCGAUUGCUUCCACUUCAUGGUUGACAAUCCAGAGUCAUUUCAAAUCUGUGAAUUUUUGAAAGGAAAGGAUGCAUUUUCAAAGUAUUCAAUCUGGGCCUUGUUUUUGAUGUCAGAACAUGUGCUCUUACCUAUUGGUGCUUUAAACUCAGUGUGCAAGUAAAUCAUCAGAGGAGGUCUCUCCCUGUCAAUCAAAUCUGUGAAGUCACGAGGUGAUCUCAGGACAUGAAUACUGUUAUGGUAAAGUGCUUGUGUGUGUGGUCUGUAAUGUAUAAUGUUUUAUUCUCUAAGGUAUUAUAAGACAGCAGGUGGCUUACAUACUCCUCUAAAUUUGUCAUUAAAUCAUUUGAUGUUCACUGUCCAGAGCAUAGGGUAGUAUUUGAUCAACACUGAACAAAAAAAACACAUGUCAAGUGUUGGUCCCAUGUUUCAUGAGCUGAAAUAAAACAUUCCUGAAAUUUUC